rnacentral:rRNA from 1 species
GCUUGUCUCAAAGAUUAAGCCAUGCAUGUCUAAGUAUAGUACCUUAUACUGCGAAACUGCGAAUGGCUCAUUAAAUCAGUUAUAAUUCAUUUGAUGGUACUUACUACUCGGAUAACCGUAGUAAUUCUAGAGCUAAUACAUGCGUAAAUACCCAACUGCUUGUCGGACGGGUAGCAUUUAUUAGAUUGAAACCAAUGCAGCUUCGGCUGGUAUUGUGUUGAGUCAUAAUAACUGUGCGGAUCGCUUUUUAAGCGAUAAAUCGAUUGAGUUUCUGCCCUAUCAGCUUUGGAUGGUAGGAUAUGGGCCUACCAUGGCGUUAACGGGUAACGGGGAAUUAGGGUUUGAUUCCGGAGAGGGAGCCUUAGAAACGGCUACCACAUCCAAGGAAGGCAGCAGG